GACGAACGCUGGCGGCGUGCCUAAUACAUGCAAGUUGAGCGCUGAAGGUUGGUACUUGUACCAACUGGAUGAGCAGCGAACGGGUGAGUAACGCGUGGGGAAUCUGCCUUUGAGCGGGGGACAACAUUUGGAAACGAAUGCUAAUACCGCAUAAAAACUUUAAACACAAGUUUUAAGUUUGAAAGAUGCAAUUGCAUCACUCAAAGAUGAUCCCGCGUUGUAUUAGCUAGUUGGUGAGGUAAAGGCUCACCAAGGCGAUGAUACAUAGCCGACCUGAGAGGGUGAUCGGCCACAUUGGGACUGAGACACGGCCCAAGCUCCUACGGGAGGCAGCAGUAGGGAAUCUUCGGCAAUGGACGAAAGUCUGACCGAGCAACGCCGCGUGAGUGAAGAAGGUUUUCGGAUCGUAAAACUCUGUUGGUAGAGAAGAACGUUGGUGAGAGUGGAAAGCUCAUCAAGUGACGGUAACUACCCAGAAAGGGACGGCUAACUACGUG
rnacentral:rRNA from 1 species